AUUAGAAGGCGCAAAUCAAUUCCUAUACUUAACUCUUUCACACAAAGCCCUCACCCUCUAAUUUCGUCCUCCUUCCCCUUUCCCCUUUCCCCUUUCCCCACCCUUUUCGUUUCCUUUCCAACCCCAGCAAAAGAAGAAUAUAAAAAAAAUCCUGAAACGCAUCCCACCAAAAGCCAAACCCCCCAUUCCUCCUCCUCUCUGAUUUAUUCAACUCACGAGCAAUAGAAACAUCCCAAAAUUCAACUCGCCCCCAUCCCUAAUUCAAACUUCAAACCCUAUUUCCCUUUCCAAGACGCCAUCCUAUUCCUUCCCCUCUUCUUCUUCCCCCCCGAAUCCAAGAAACGAAAGAUCGGAGAGGGGAGAGAGAGAGAGAGAUUUAUAGAUUGAUUGGAUGAGAUGCCGAGCGUGGCCGUGAAGCUGUACAGCGUUUUCUUCAAGCUGCUGUUGAAGCACCGGCUGCAGGGCUGGCUUGACAGCAGAGCCGCAGCGGCCACCGCCACCGCUGGCCUCUUUGGCGUCACAUCGCGCCCUGAGGAGUCGACGGCCGCCGCCAACCCUUCCUUCGGCCCCGACGGCGUCGCCACCAAAGACAUCCACAUCGACCCCAUCACGUCCCUCUCCAUCCGCAUCUUCCUCCCGGACACCUCCCUCCCCCGCCCCAAACCCCACCCAGCCGCCCGAUCCCUUGAUCCCCCACGCCGCAACAGCUACGGCGGCAUCACCGCCUCCCCCGCCCCCAACCACGCCGCCCGUCGGAGCAGCUUGGACGGGCCCGGAUUCGCCACCGAGAACGGCGGCGGCGGCGGCGGAUCCUACGGCGGGUACCUCCCCUCCGUGGCGGGUGACGGCCGCCACCGCUCAGGUGGUACCCGGAAGCUCCCCGUGAUCCUCCAGUUCCACGGGGGCGGGUUCAUCGCCGGGAGCAAUACGUCUGCGGCGAACGACUUCUUCUGUCGGCGGAUUGCGAAGCUGUGCGAUGGGAUCGUGAUCGCGGUCGGGUACAGGCUGGCGCCCGAGAAUCGGUACCCGGCGGCGUUCGAGGACGGGCUGGAGGUGCUGAAGUGGUUGGGGAAGCAGGCGAAUCUCGCGGAGUGCAGUAAAUCUUUGGGGAGUGUGAAGGGUGGAGGGGAUGGCGAUUCAAAGAGGGCGGACAUUGUUGACACGUUUGGGGCGUCCUCGGUGGAGCCGUGGUUGGCAGCUCAUGCUGAUCCGUCCCGAUGUGUUCUCCUUGGUGUGAGCUGUGGUGCAAAUAUUGCCGACUUUGUGGCUCGCAAGGCUGUUGAAGCGGGAAAGCUCAUUGAGCCUGUCAAGGUUGUAGCCCAGGUUCUAAUGUAUCCUUUCUUCAUUGGAAGUGUACCCACCCAUUCAGAAAUAAAGCUUGCAAACUCUUAUUUCUAUGACAAGUCCAUGUGCAUACUUGCUUGGAGACUGUUCUUGCCUGAAGACGAGUACAGCUUAGACCAUCCAGCUGCAAACCCUCUUGUGUCUGGAAGGGGGCCGCCAUUGAAAUGCAUGCCCCCGACCCUCACAGUGGUGGCCGAGCAUGAUUGGAUGAGGGACCGUGCGAUUGCUUACUCCGAGGAGCUCCGAAAAGUGAAUGUUGAUGCACCAGUCCUUGAAUACAAAGAUGCAGUUCAUGAAUUCGCCACGCUCGAUAUGCUCCUCAAGACACCUCAGGCACAGGCCUGUGCUGAGGACAUUGCCAUAUGGGUGAAGAAGUAUAUAUCGAUCCGAGGUCAUGAGUUCUCAUAUUAGACAUGGUAGUUUUGCGUAUUGGAUUCGAGGGAAGGGCAUCAUUGCACAUUUCUCAUACCAGGCUCUCUUGAGUUCAAUCACAAAAAAGAGCAGUCUUUACUCUUCGAAAGCCUUCCUGCUGAUUCUUAAAUGACAAAAGCAUGCCAUGAGCGCUUUUUCACUGAUCUGCCUUGCACCAUCUGCAUGUUAACAAGUUUCAGCAUCGUGCUUGCUCAUUGUGAGUGCUUUUCCUUAACAGAGAUGAGGACAAUAACCCAAUUCUCAUUGAUAGUCACCUUUUUAUGUAUGCUAGCAUUGAAGCACCUGUAAUACG